rnacentral:misc_RNA from 1 species
CCGAGUGCAGGUCUGCCCCCGGGCAGGCCUAACCUCCCACCCGUGAAUACCUGACCAACGUUGCUUCGGCGGUGCGCCCCCCCGGGGGUAGCCGCCGGAGACCACAUUGAACCUCUUGUCUUUAGUGUUGUCUGAGCUUGAUAGCAAACCUAUUA